UACGGGGGGGGCAAGCGUUGUUCGGAAUUACUGGGCGUAAAGGGCUCGUAGGCGGCCAACUAAGUCGGACGUGAAAUCCCCAGGCUCAACCUGGGAACUGCGUCUGAUACUGGAUGGCUUGAAUUCGGGAGAGGGAUGCAGAAUUCCAGGUGUAGCGGUGAAAUGCGUAGAUAUCUGGAGGAAUACCGGUGGCGAAGGCGGCAUCCUGGACCGACAUUGACGCUGAACGGCGAAAGCUAGGGGAGCAAACGGG
rnacentral:rRNA from 1 species